GGGGAAUUGUUCGCAAUGGGCGCAAGCCUGACGACGCAACGCCGCGUGGAGGACGAAGAUCUUCGGGUCGUAAACUCCUGUCGAGCGGGACGAACACCCAUCCAGUGAACAACUGGGAGGGCUGACGGUACCGCUAAAGGAAGCCCCGGCUAACUCUGUGCCAGCAGCCGCGGUAAUACAGAGGUGGCAAGCGUUGUUCGGAAUUACUGGGCGUAAAGGGCGCGUAGGCGGCCUUCUAAGUCGGACGUGAAAGCCCCAGGCUUAACCUGGGAACUGCGUCCGAUACUGGGAGGCUUGGAUUCGGGAGAGGGAUGUGGAAUUCCAGGUGUAGCGGUGAAAUGCGUAGAUAUCUGGAGGAACACCGGUGGCGAAGGCGGCAUCCUGGACCGAGAUCGACGCUGAGGCGCGAAAGCUAGGGGAGCAAA
rnacentral:rRNA from 1 species